GUAGGAUGCGAGCGUUAUCCGGAUUUAUUGGGCGUAAAGAGGACGUAGGCGGCUUGGUAAGUCGGUUGUAAAAUCUCCUGGCUUAACUAGGAGGGACCAUCCGAUACUGCCGGGCUAGAGUGCAUCAGGAGAAGAUGGAAUUCCCGGUGUAGUGGUGAAAUGCGUAGAUAUCGGGAGGAACACCAGUGGCGAAGGCGGUCUUCUAGGAUGUUACUGACGCUGAGGUCCGAAAGCGUGGGGAGCGAACAGGAUUAGAUACCCUGGUAGUCCACGCCGUAAACGAUGGACACUAGGUAUGGGGAGUAUCGACCCUUUCCGUGCCGAAGCUAACGCUUUAAGUGUCCCGCCUGGGGAGUACGGUCGCAAGGCUG
rnacentral:rRNA from 1 species